AGCACAUUUAGUUACUUGGAAAGCAGGCAUUCUGAUUUAUUGAUUGUGGGGGGCUAUCUUCCCUCCCUUUGUCCCUCUUUUAAGAAAUUGAAAACAUUUAAAAUGUAAUUAAGAACUUUAAUCAUUUGUUUUUAAACUUUUAGGCUAGUGAUACAGAACGAGAUGGACUAGCCCCAGAAAAGACAUCACCAGAUAGAGAUAAGAAAAAAGAGCAGUCAGAUGUAUCUGUUUCUCCUAGAGCUUCAAAACAUCAUUAUUCAAGAUCACGAUCAAGGUCAAGAGAAAGAAAACGAAAGUCAGAUAAUGAAGGAAGAAAACACAGGAGCCGGAGCAGAAGCAAAGAGCGUGCUUAUGCGCGAAGAGACUGAACUGAAGACGCUGCAGACUCAGAUAGCAAAAUAAUAAGCCUACUUCAUGAUAAGGCAAGAAGACAUGAAUCCAAAGAUAAAUCCUCUAAGAAACAUAAGUCUGAGGAACAUAAUGACAAAGAACAUUCUUCUGAUAAAGGAAGAGAGCGACUAA
rnacentral:sRNA from 1 species